rnacentral:tRNA from 1 species
GGGUAGGUGGCCGAGCGGUUAAAGGCGGCAGACUGUAAAUCUGUUCCGUAAGGUACGAUGGUUCGAAUCCAUCCCUGCCCACCA